GCCUGGGUGGCUCAGUCAGUUAAGCAUCUGACUUCGGCUCAGGUCAUGAUCUCACGGUUCGUGGGUUCAAGCCCCGCGUCAGGCU
rnacentral:tRNA from 1 species